GACGAACGCUGGCGGCGCGCUUAACACAUGCAAGUCGAGCGACGAAAGGCCCUUCGGGGCCCUGAAAGCGGCGAACGGGUGAGUAACACGUGGGUAACCCACCCUCGGUACCGGGAUAGCCCGGGGAAACCCGGAUUAAUACCGGAUGGUCUCUCCGGUCUGCGGAUCGGCGAGAAAAGGUAGCUUCGGCCUCCGACCGAGGAUGGGCCCGCGGCCGAUUAGCUUGUUGGCGGGGUAACGGCCCACCAAGGCGACGAUCGGUAGCUGGUCUGAGAGGACGAUCAGCCACACUGGGACUGAGACACGGCCCAGACUCCUACGGGAGGCAGCAGUGGGGAAUCUUGCGCAAUGGGCGGAAGCCUGACGCAGCGACGCCGCGUGCGGGAAGAAGGCCUUCGGGUUGUAAACCGCUUUCAGGAGGGACGAAGCCACUCGGGUGAAUAGCCCAGAGGGUGACGGUACCUCCAGAAGAAGCCCCGGCUAACUACGUGCCAGCCGCCGCCGUAACAC
rnacentral:rRNA from 1 species